CCUACGGGAGGCAGCAGUGGGGAAUAUUGGACAAUGGGGGCAACCCUGAUCCAGCCAUGCCGCGUGAGUGAUGAAGGCCUUCGGGUUGUAAAGCUCUUUUGGCGGGGACGAUGAUGACGGUACCCGCAGAAUAAGCCCCGGCUAACUUCGUGCCAGCAGCCGCGGUAAGACGAAGGGGGCUAGCGUUGUUCGGAAUUACUGGGCGUAAAGCGAGUGUAGGUGGUUGUCCAAGUUGGAUGUGAAAGCCUUGAGCUCAACUCAAGAAAUGCAUUCAGGACUGGGCGGCUAGAGGACCGGAGAGGAUAGUGGAAUUCCCAGUGUAGUGGUGAAAUACGUAGAGAUUGGGAAGAACACCAGUGGCGAAGGCGGCUAUCUGGACGGUUUCUGACACUAAGACUCGAAAGCGCGGGGAGCAAACAGGAUUAGAUACCCUGGUAGUCCACGCCGUAAACGAUGGGUGCUAGACGUUGGCGAGCUUGCUCGUCAGUGUCGCAGCUAACGCGUUAAGCACCCCGCCUGGGGAGUACGGCCGCAAGGUUGAAACUCAAAGAGUAAGUGGCGNGNGAGAGCGACGACGACGACGACGGAGGAG
rnacentral:rRNA from 1 species